rnacentral:lncRNA from 1 species
CAGAUUCACAUGGAGAAGAAUUAAGGGUUCCUGCCAAUCACCAGCACCACUUUGCCAGCCUUGUAAGUGGGCCACCUUGGAAUUGGAGCCUCCAGCUCCUACUGACAUCUGACUGCAACAUCAUGAGAGACCCUGGGUUUGAACCACCCAGCUGAGCUGCUUCUGAGCUAACCCACUGAAACCGUGAAAGUACCUGAAUGAAACAACACCCAGUAGCCACUAGCACACCUAGCUCCCAGAUCUCAGUUUUUGAUGCCAUUCUUCAGUAAAAGGAAGCAAGGCUCCUUGAAGAAAUUGCUAUCAAGGACUGGGGUAGAAAAUAUACAAGAUGAAAUUGGAGCAUCUUGUAGUGCUUAAAAACAGUCGGCAGCUGUGUGAAGACGGGAAUGGAGGAGGCAGGGUAGGCAGUGAGUGCCGCAGCCACAGCUUGGGUUCUCUGCAGCCCUGGCACAGAAGAUAGGAACACCCAUGGGGGAUGUGGCCACCAUGAUGUCUUCCCACACAAGAAGAGUGCCAAGUGCUUUUCUCAUGCUUUUCUGGAUUGUUCUAUGGUGGAUGAGUCAGCAGGAGUGAGAUGGAGCAGCACAGUAGAGGGGUACCUGGCAAGGCCCGGAGGGAGAACCCCCUGCCCCAAACAUUUCAAUGGUAUCAGGUGACAGCAGCGAUUCUCUUAGCACCUGGUCUGUUUUGUCCCAGGCCAGGAUAUCAUUGUACAGAUUCUCAGCUGACUGAGCACCAAUAGAGGAGAGGGAGAGUCUCAUGGAAGUUCCUUCUAAGCCUUUGGCUCUUUUUACCUUCAACAAGAUGUGCCACCUCUUUGUUCCAGCAAGUGGGAGGAACAGUCCGGGCCUCUUUUCACACAAGACUGUGAUAUGAAUGCACCAUCACGGGCCCCACAGGGGAGCUGUCUGCUUCCCCACACAGCUGCUAGGGGCUCUUUUGCAUGUUCCCAACCUUUCCUGCCUUUAUCUGAUAUUCGUUCCUUAGAUCCUGGGAUGAGGAGGUGGACCAGCAGAAGGUGGAUUUGGGAAGGCAGCCCGGGGUCCAAAUCCUCCUGGCUCUUCAGCUUAGCGGGUUAGUUAACAUUCAGAAGCCUUCAUCUCCCAUCCGCAAAAUGGGCAUGUCCAACUCAGAAGCUGCCUUGAAGAAAGGGUCUACCCAGCAUGGUGCGUGAAGCCUAAGCAAUCAGUACUUCAAGACUUCACCCGGCCCCUUUCCAAUAACUGCUGCUGUCGCCCUCACAGGAUGUCACCCUCAGUGUCUGAAAGCUGGGUUUGAUGCGUCUGGAAAGGCUCCCCUGACAGGCAUCAUUGCCGGGAGCCCCUAGUGCCGCCAGCAGCCAGCAGGGGAGGGCGUCCUCUGCCCGCUCACUUCUGACCCUUCUCAGGGAGCAGCCUGGGCUGCGCGGAAGGCUCAGAUUUGGGGAUGGCCCUUGCCAGUGACAGUGACCUGGGGUGUCUUGGAAACUCCCAGUCUCAGCUUCUCCAUUUAUAAGAUGAGAAUGAUCAUACCAGCCUCAGGCAAGGUUGUUUGUGCAUUAGUGAAAUCAGACGUAUUAAAUAAAGUACCAUAUUGAUCAUGGAGUUGUUGAAUAACCAA